rnacentral:rRNA from 1 species
GCGAUGGGAGCUUGCUCCCUGAUGUUAGCGGCGGGCGGGUGAGUAACACGUGGGUGACCUGCCUGUAUAACUGGGAUAACUCCGGGAAACCGGGGCUAAUACCGGAUGGUUGUUUGAACCGCAUGGUUCAAACAUAAAAGGUGGCUUCGGCUACCACUUACAGAUGGACCCGCGGCGCAUUAGCUAGUUGGUGAGGUAACGGCUCACCAAGGCGACGAUGCGUAGCCGACCUGAGAGGGUGAUCGGCCACACUGGGACUGAGACACGGCCCAGACUCCUACGGGAGGCAGCAGUAGGGAAUCUUCCGCAAUGGACGAAAGUCUGACGGAGCAACGCCGCGUGAGUGAUGAAGGUUUUCGGAUCGUAAAGCUCUGUUGUUAGGGAAGAACAAGUACCGUUCGAAUAGGGCGGUACCUUGACGGUACCUAACCAGAAAGCCACGGCUAACUACGUGCCAGCAGCCGCGGUAAUACGUAGGUGGCAAGCGUUGUCCGGAAUUAUUGGGCGUAAAGGGCUCGCAGGCGGUUUCUUAAGUCUGAUGUGAAAGCCCCCGGCUCAACCGGGGAGGGUCAUUGGAAACUGGGGAACUUGAGUGCAGAAGAGGAGAGUGGAAUUCCACGUGUAGCGGUGAAAUGCGUAGAGAUGUGGAGGAACACCAGUGGCGAAGGCGACUCUCUGGUCUGUAACUGACGCUGAGGAGCGAAACGCGUGGGGAGCGAACAGGAUUAGAUACCCCUGGUAGUCCACGC